ACUGCUGGUGAAAUACCGUAUUAACAAGUUCAGACGAGAAAACUUGUGUUGCUUUCCCUCUCAAUUUUCAUUGUCAAGUUUCACUGACGAAUCUCGUUGUUGGUUUCCCGCAGUGAGGUCCAUCAUCCUAUCCCCCCUUUGACAACUGCCGCUAGAGUGAGCCUCUCGCGAAUCCCCCCACCCCGCCUUCCCUCUCCACUGGCCAGCCGCCGGGCCGCCGCCGGCUGCGGAACGGAGCGUCAGAUCGGGAACAGCUGAGAUGAGCUACUCGUCGGUUAAGCUCCCGGCCCAGCUGGUCGCCCUCUCAACCUCGUGCUUCGCGAUUCGUCGGCCGUGCAACUCGUCAUGCUGCCUGUCCGUCUUCAGGUUGGACCAAAUGCGCCGCGCUCCCCGUCCCCAACAACUCUGUCUGGCUCUUGGUCCUCGCCCCGCCGCCGUGUCCGGCCCGCGCGCCGUUCCGCCGCGCGCUCACCCGGCUGUCGUCGCCGAGCUGGAGUUCGAGCCCGUCACCCGCGCCAUCCGUGUCAUCCGCGUCACCCGCGUAUGGGCCUUCUCGUCGUCGCUGCAGCGCCCCCUUCCUCCCCUCCCACCCCGCCGGGCCCGCCGCCGGGCCCGCCGCCGGGCCUGGCCCAUUCGACGAAGUGCAAGAAGAGAAGUGCAGUGUCAAGUGCAUCGUGGCCAAAUAAGUGAAAGUCGACUGCAGUGUGUGCAUGUGGGCCGUGAAGUGUAGUGUUCAAGUGUCCUCAAGCUCCCUUUGCCUCCGUUCCACUGGUUCCACUCGCCGUCGCUGCUGCUGCGCGCCGGACCGGGGCUGGCUGUCGACUCAUGGUAGGGUAGACGACCGUACUUUGUUUUGCUCAGAUAGGAACAUUAUAGUAGAUUUUGACUUCAGAGCGCAACGGUGGACAGUGCUCUUGCGCUCAUCGCCGUGGUCUGGUUGGCACGGUCAGGCAGGGGGGCGGGGCAGAUUUUUGGAUGGGACGAUUAAAAUUGCACUCUCUGCGUUCUUCACAAUGAUACCUCGACACACAGUAACAUGAUAGAAAGUCCGACACCAGACACCAGUCGUGGCCGUAUUAGCCGAAAGUCGCGUAGCCGUGGGUAGUAUGGGGAGCCGCGUCAACAACCUCAUCUUUCUGCCGUUUAGUUAAAUAUUGCCGAUUAACGUUUAUAAUGUUUUGUUUGACGUUUUGGCCUUUUUAUGCGGAAGAGAUCAAAUGAUUUGAAGAUCCAAUUUCAGGUCAGUGAUCAAAUCGGCCCCUUUUUACUGUGUUGCGUUUGGCUUUGGUUUGUUUUUGUUCCCCCCUGAUUGAAGUUGUUGUCGGCAGGGUAUCAAUAGGCUAUUCCGCUCGACGCGGUAAGAAGAACACAAGAAGAUUCACAAAAGACGAGGGUGCGGGGAGCGCGGGGGGGGGGGAGCCGCCUCGCUACCCCUACCCUCGGCGUUUGUGAUGCUCAACACCACCGCCCUGCUCCUGCUCACCGUCACCACGCUCACCAUCGACCUGCUCUAGCUCAUCGUCGCCGUGCUCACCAUCGUCGCCCUGCCCAACACCACCGCUCUGCUCCUGCUCACCGUCCGCCCACUCAACGUCGACCCCAUCCAGCUCAUCGCCGCUCUGCUCACCAUCGCAGUCCUGCUCACCGCCGCCCUGUCGCCUGAUUCAGGAGAUCGUUCAAGAGGGGCUCUCCGAUACCUCCUGUAUAGCUCCGUCCUUGUUGCACUCAUGGGGCAGGUAGCCCCUCUUGAACGAUCUUCUGGAUCAGACGGCGGCCUAGCUCACCACCACCCAGCUCACCGUCGCCCUGCUCACCGCCGGCCUGCGCAUCCCCGCCAUGCUCCAGCUGGCACUCCGCGGGGGCAAUCAGAUUCUUGCCGCUGAGAAAGGUCCCAGCCGCCGCGCCUCGCCGCGACUCUGCUCCCCAGCCGACAACUGGACCUUCUGGCUGGAUGCUGCUGUGGCCGUGGUCGGCAGACCACAGGUACGUCCCUCAAGCCUUCCUUGUUGCACGUUUGGCCCGCUUGCAGUGGCCCCGGUCGUUCCCUGGCGCCGCCCCUCGACCGUUGGCUGGCGCGCCGCGCUGGGCCUGCCCUCGCUGGACCCGCGGGUCUCCCCCGUAGGCCCCCCUCCCCCCCGCGGGGCUGGCGAGUGGCAGCGCUCGGGGCAGUGCGUCGGCCGCGGCUGGCGGGCGUGUGUGAUACUUUGUGACCGGCGGACCACGAGGGCAAAGUGAUGGCGUACUCCAACCGCACGUAGGCACCGAACUAAUAACUUGUUCUAUUCCUCUUCCAUGCCGCUGCUGCUCUGGCCGUCGAGACCUCGGCCGUUCUGUUGCUGCACCAAGCUGCUCGACUAGGACGCUCCCCUGAGACCCCGAGCAGUGCGUCACCACGGCCUCGUCGCCGCCUUCUUGGUCGCCUACAAGCAGAGUCUCCGUGGAAGGCCCGCUGCAGCCGCCCGCCUCGCCGUGGACAGGCAGCCUGCCCGGACGUGCGCCGCGGAGCCACCGUUUCAGCUGCGGGAGAAGUGACUGUGGUUUGCUCCGUGACCAGAUGUUCGUUUCUCUAAUCGCUUUUCUUGUUCCAGGCGCGUUCCAGUUCCGGCCUCGUCAGCUAGUCUCCGCGGUCGGCGAAGGCCUCCAGGACCUCCAGGACCUCCAGGUACACCCCCACAGCCCUCCCUCGCCGUCCUCGUCGCCGACACUCCGCGGGGGAAGCAGAUUAUUGCUGCCGCCGAGAAUGAGAAGGUCCUAGCCCGAGCCGCCGCGCCCCGCCGCGACCCUGCCUUUUAGAGGGUCUUCUUGUGAGGCGCGCCUGGUCGGUGCUCUGCCCGCUGCAACUGCGCGCCCCGCCCCGCCUCGCCCCGCAGCCGGCGAGGACACCAAGACUCCACGACCCGCUGGGCCCCCGAUACCCAGUCUACUAUGAACGCUGCUGCCUUCAAUGUCAUCCCGAACAACCGGAGAAAGGGAGAGAAACCAGUGCGCAGCCCGUGUUGUGUGGAGGUGACUGUCACAAGGAUGAGAAGCAGAACUGGUGAGAGCGAGGGCCACAAGAGGCAGUAAGCAGAUGGCAUUUCUACAUUGCUGUUCCACCACUGGAUCAACAAGACAACAAGAACCAUAUAACUGGAUCAACAAGACAAGAACCAUUUAACUGUUUUCUUUUUAAUCACGACUGGACUCUCUCUUGACGGUGACUUCUUAUUCCUGCCUUGCUUUUCUUGCAUUGUAGUGGAGUUUGUUUAUGUGGUGUUAGUAAUGACAUUUCGUUUGGGUUUUGCAUGUUUGUGGUGUGCUUGUAAUUUUAUGUGGGGUGUAGGAAUUCUGUGUAAUCUCUUCCUCUCUAGCUUGACCAAACUUGACACUUUUCUGAAUAUCUGCACACACUUCUAUCAUGCGUCGUUUAAUCAUAGUAAAACUGUAAAAUCCCCUGCUGUAAUUGGUAUUUUUACACUGAAUAGCUUUCACUCUUACAUGAUUUGCUUGUAUGAUAUUGUUUUACCGGUGUUCAGCAUUUUUCAAAUCGAUUCUCAUUAUUCAGCAAUCAAUGUACCCAUCUUUUUCCCUAGUUUAAUUGCGUCAAUACUACUAUGUUCUGGUAUAACUGAUAUAUGCCCAAAUAAUUACUGUUCGACUUGGACCUUUGUCUUGUGUGAAAACAUGUGCCACUGUCUUGUCAGCCUGUUAGGCAUUAAUGUUUCCAUAAACUUAAAAAUAAAAACAAUUAUUUGAAGGUAGUGUAGUUUAGUGACCUCUAUAAUAAUAUUCAGAACUAUAUUGUUCAAGUCCAGUCCAUGGUCCAGUCAAGAGUCAGUCACACACCACUAUUACUCGCCAUCUAUCGGCAGACCCCAAACUUCGUCGCCACACAUUACGUUCUUCUUUAAGUUCUUCCUCAACCCCUUACGUUCUUUGUUCUGCCUUCCAAUACCCAAUAAAAGCAGGCGCCAGCUUUCACUCGGCGCCACACUGUGACCAGCGCGUGAUGUGAAUACAUCGCUCUUAAA